AUAUCCAAAGCAUUACAAGCAACUGACCUGCUAAAAUUUAUGACCCUCAACCCACUAUUUUACAAGCACAGACUAUAUAAUUGAACAAGUUUGAUCCAGAUCCAAACAGAACAGCACUAUAACAAAAACAUUUUCAACUUGUGCUCUCUCAUAAGAGAGAUUUUAAUGGCUAGAUUAGGCAUCUACCAUCUACCGAUGCAGCACCAACUGGCUUACCUUCCACAUAUCAAUAAGACAAGACAGACACCUUGUUUACCUUCGACAUAUCAAUAAAACAAGACGGACACCUUCAUUCACCUUAACUUGGGCCUUUUGGGAAGACUACUGCUAGCAUUCCUUCUAUGAGGUGCUCGAGCUGGUGCUCGAGCCUUACCAAAGGCCUUCAUCUUCCUUCUUUUUCUCUCUUCUUCACUGUCUGAGUCAUCCCCCUUCUCCCUGUCGGCAUAGCUUGCUUCUCUCUCCAACUCUUCCCAUGUCUUACCCUCAUCCUCAUCUGAGUCUUCCUCAGAGUCCUCAUCCUCAUCAUCCUCAGACUCCACCAGUGACUCACUGUCAUCACCCUCAUCUUCAGAUCCUGAGUCAGACUGUACAUCUGAAGGCUCAUACCCUUGGUCUGAGUCCACUGAGUUCUCAGAAUCCGAGUCACUAACUUCCAUGUUUAAAAAUUCCCAACCACCAUCCUCUAUAAAUUUUUCUGGAUCAUCAGUGAUUGUUUUCAGUAUAGGCCGCCAGUUCAGAUUUAAUCUACUCUCAUAGUACUUGAGAUCAGUUGUGUUUAGCCACUCCUUGAUGUUAUCUAGCGAUGUGGAUGGAAUAGAGUCUAUCCGAAGGACAUCCCUCUUGAAGUCUUUAAAUACAAUAGUCAUAUCAAAAUUCUUCUGCCCAAGACCAACUCUCUCUAGAUUAACUAUCUCAAUCUCACUCAGGGUGAUCACAACAAAAGGAGUCUCUAUCAGUUCAACGAGGCAGCUCGAUGUAGGGACAAUAAAAGCUGAGGCUUUAUGGGGGACUCCAUGGAACCCAAGCUCUCUCAAGGGUUGAUCAAACUCAAGGUCAAGGGCUUUGAAUUGAGGUUGGCCCCAAACAUCAUUCACCCGGUUUACAAAGUUCUGGAAGUCCAUGUUUAUUUUAUUCUUUCGGUCCCUCUCCCGUUGUUCUUCCUCAAUCUCAUCUGGGUCAUAGGCAGAUCUCUUUCCACCUCCAACAGUCUGGACCACAUCCAUCACCUCAAUAUAAAAUUGAACAUCUUUGGUCUUCUUGUUCCCCACCAUUAUGUGAUUA
rnacentral:misc_RNA from 1 species